GUUCAAUCAAGAAUCAACCAUUUGGAUAAACCUAUAAAUCCCCACCACCACAAAAAAUCUCAAGAUCUCCUCUUCCCACACAAGAAAAAAGCAAAAAAGAGAAAAUCUUUGUAUUACCAGAAUCACCAUGACUGCUUCCACUUCAGCUUUCUUCUCAUCAUCAGUUCUCAACAUACCCAAUUCCAAGAACCAAUCCCUCAUCAUCCCAUCUCACAAAAACAUCUUAAAUCCUAACCCUUUUCCCCAAAUCAAGAUUCAUAAAUCAAGAAACCCACAAAAGCCAAAUGGGUAUUUCAUUUCUAAGUCUGUUAUUGUCGAUAACCCCUCUACUGUUUCUUCUACAUCUUCGUUGAGUGUAGAUGCGGGAGUUGAUGAAAAAGAUGCUGCGGCAAUGGGGAAAGUUGGGUCUAAGGUUAGGGUUACGGUUCCGUUGAAAGUGUAUCAUGUUCCGAAGGUUCCGGAGUUGGAUUUGGAUGGGAGGACUGGGACGGUGAAACAGUAUGUGGCUGUUCAUAAAGGGAAACAAAUAUCAGCUAAUUUGCCUUACAAGGUGGAGUUUGUGGUAGAUGAUUUGGAAGGACGAAGUACUCCGGUUAAGUUCUCUGCCCACCUUAAGGAAGAUGAGUUUGAGUUUCUUGAUUGAUUCAUUUUAGUUUUGAUCACAAUUUAAUUGCUUUUUUAAUGAACUAUGUGUACUUCUGAA
rnacentral:misc_RNA from 1 species